rnacentral:rRNA from 1 species
AACGCGAAGAACCUUACCUGGUCUUGACAUCCUGGGAAUCCCGUAGAGAUAUGGGAGUGCCGCAAGGGGCUGCUGUAUAGGUGCUGCAUGGCUGUCGUCAGCUCGUGUCGUGAGAUGUUGGGUUAAGUCCCGCAACGAGCGCAACCCUCAUCCCUAGUUGCCACCGGGUAAUGCCGAGCACUCUAGUGAAACCGCCCCGGAUAACGGGGAGGAAGGUGGGGAUGACGUCAAGUCCUCAUGGCCUUUAUGUCCAGGGCUACACACGUGCUACAAUGGUCGGUACAAACCGUCGCAAAGCCGCAAGGUGGAGCUAAUCGGAAAAAGCCGGCCUCAGUUCGGAUUGGAGUCUGCAACUCGACUCCAUGAAGCUGGAAUCGCUAGUAAUCGCAGAUCAGAACGCUGCGGUGAAUACGUUCCCGGGCCUUGUACACACCGAGUAUA